UUUUGGAAGCCUCUUUCUCUGCCAGUACACCUGGAAUCAAACAUCAGGUUCUUGCAGCCAGAAGUGGAGGAUAGGAAGUCUUUGUCCUUCCUGCCUUCUUGUUUCACCUUUUUCUUCUUCUUUAACAGCCUUCUUGUAGAAAAGGUGUUGGGUGCCGAGAAGCUGAAACAAACUUGUUUCAGCCUGUACAAUGUGGCAGAGCCCUGAAAUAACACUGAACCCAGGUCAUCCCUUUUCCCAUUACAGAAUCAGAAGACAGCUGCAAGCCUUGUUGACAGGCACUCCUUUAGAUUUUCUUUAUUGGGGAACAUUGGGUGCCAUCACAGAAGCCAAGAGACCUUGAACUUUAUUGCAUAGAGGGUUGCAAGGAUACAUCUCCAGGGGAACCAAACAACUGUGGUACUGCCAGGAACUCCU